GCCCUCGUAGCUCAGCGGACAGAGCACCGUCCUCCGACGGCGGGUGUCGCUGGUUCGAUUCCAGCCGAGGGCA
rnacentral:tRNA from 1 species